UACGAAGGGGGCUAGCGUUGCUCGGAAUGACUGGGCGUAAAGGGCGCGUAGGCGGAUGGCUUUGUCGGGCGUGAAAUUCCAGGGCUUAACCUUGGGGCUGCGUUCGAGACGGGUUGUCUUGAGUUCGGAAGAGGGUCGUGGAAUUCCCAGUGUAGAGGUGAAAUUCGUAGAUAUUGGGAAGAACACCGGUGGCGAAGGCGGCGACCUGGUCCGAGACUGACGCUGAGGCGCGAAAGCCAGGGGAGCAAACGGG
rnacentral:rRNA from 1 species